UACGUAGGGGGCAAGCGUUGUCCGGAAUCAUUGGGCGUAAAGAGCGUGUAGGCGGCCAGGUAGGUCCGUUGUGAAAACUAGAGGCUCAACCUCUAGACGUCGAUGGAAACCAUCUGGCUAGAGUCCGGAAGAGGAGAGUGGAAUUCCUGGUGUAGCGGUGAAAUGCGCAGAUAUCAGGAAGAACACCCGUGGCUAAGGCGGCUCUCUAGUACGGUACUGACGCUGAGACGCGAAAGCGUGGGGAGCGAACAGG
rnacentral:rRNA from 1 species